GCGGUCACCAAAAAUAUUUUUAAGAAUCUAAGCUGAGGCACCAAAUAAAAUAAACAACUCCAAAAAAAAAUAAAUUGACUUUAUUAAAAGGGCACUAAAGUAUAUAAUAUUAUGAUCCAAAAAAAAUAAAAUAACAUCAGAAAAAUCGCAAAUCUCGCACAAAUAUUAUUUUUGGUUCCCAAAAUGGAUUAAUGGUCACCAAAUUCUAUCCAACUAAAAGAUUAAUAUUACUACCAAAAAUCAAAGUUAGUGACGAAAACGAAUCGCUGCAAAACCGACUCCACGUAGUCUUGUCUGCCCUACCCCUAGAGUGCAAUUCAAAACCGCGUAGGCGCGGAGGGGCGAGGCGGCCUGCGAGCUGAGGCGCAGGGCCCCGAUUCUCCUAAGUUAAUAAUGUCAAAAUCGAAUAGAAAUCGAAUCGCAAUAUGAUCGUAAUAGCAGUUUUAACCAUAUCGGGCAUUCUGCUACUAAUAAAAGACCAAUCGUAUUCGAUUGACAUUUGAUUGGUUUGCGAUUUGUCUGCUAUUUUGGUGAUUUUGGUCUAUACGGUAGUUUGCUCUACAAUCAUAUUGCAAUAGUUAAUCAUUUGCAGACAAAAUGAUUCAUUAUUGAAUGACAGAAAAG